rnacentral:rRNA from 1 species
GGNUCUUGGGUCGUAAACCUCUUUUCUCAGGGAAGAACACAAUGACGGUACCUGAGGAAUAAGCAUCGGCUAACUCCGUGCCAGCAGCCGCGGUAAUACGGAGGAUGCAAGCGUUAUCCGGAAUGAUUGGGCGUAAAGGGUCCGCAGGUGGCAGUGUAAGUCUGCUGUUAAAGAGUCUAGCUCAACUAGAUAAGAGCAGUGGAAACUACAUAGCUAGAGUACGUUCGGGGCAGAGGGAAUUCCUGGUGUAGCGGUGAAAUGCGUAGAGAUCAGGAAGAACACCAGUGGCGAAGGCGCUCUGCUAGGCCGUAACUGACACUGAGGGACGAAAGCUAGGGGAGCGAAUGGGAUUAGAUACCCCAGUAGUCCUAGCCGUAAACGAUGGAUACUAGGCGUGGCUUGUAUCGACCCGAGCCGUGCCGUAGCUAACGCGUUAAGUAUCCCGCCUGGGGAGUACGCCGGCAACGGUGAAACUCAAAGGAAUUGACGGGGGCCCGCACAAGCGGUGGAGUAUGUGGUUUAAUUCGAUGCAACGCGAAGAACCUUACCAAGGCUUGACAUGUCGCGAAUUGGAGUGAAAGCUUCAAGUGCCUUCGGGAGCGCGAACACAGGUGGUGCAUGGCUGUCGUCAGCUCGUGUCGUGAGAUGUUGGGUUAAGUCCCGCAACGAGCGCAACCCUCGUUUUUAGUUGCCAGCAUUAAGUUGGGCACUCUAGAGAGACUGCCGGUGACAAACCGGAGGAAGGUGGGGAUGACGUCAAGUCAGCAUGCCCCUUACGCCUUGGGCUACACACGUACUACAAUGCUCCGGACAGAGGGCAGCAAGCGGGCGACUGCAAGCAAAUCCCGGAAACCGGAGCUCAGUUCAGAUCGCAGGCUGCAACUCGCCUGCGUGAAGUCGGAAUCGCUAGUAAU